CCCCCGCCCCCGCCCAUCAGCCCAGCCUGCAAGGAGGCGCCACCGGACCUGCACACUCAGGAGCAGACUCAGCUAGAUUGGAAGAGAGGAUGGGAAGACAAUGGAUGACCUACCUGUGGAGAGAAACUACCCAUUCCAGAACCUCCUCUCUGCUGAAAGCUGAACACUCAAUGGGAAGACCUGUUUGCAGAGAGGAGCCAGCCACUCCAGGGUCUCCGUUCUGCUAGAAGCUGAACACUCGUUGGGACACCCUUGCUGUGGAAAGGACAUCCUUACUGUGGAAAUGAGCUACUAACUGCAGGUCUCCUUCCUCUUCAUCUUCCUUAUCCUUCUGUUCCAUUGCUCAGUAAUGCUCCUCUUCAUCUGUCUCAUUCUCCACUUGUCUGCUUGAUGCAGGAGCUGAGGAGCUGCACAGCAAGGUUAAAAGAGCUGUAACACAAACAGGGCUGCAACAUGCCCCUUGCUCCCCACAGGGAGAGAAGAGCUCUGGCCCUCGGAGAAGCCCAGACCUGGGAGCUCCUUGAGCCCGGGCUGUGACUCCCUCUUUGGGGCCCUGGUUGGCGUCACUGCAUUCGCCAGUGCCACUGUUGGAAGCUGCUUGUGAUGCGCCUGGUCCAGGGGGAAGCUGUUUGUUGUGUGCCUGGUCCAGCCACCUCAUGGAGAGCCUGUGCUGGCACCUGGAGCUGCCCAACCUGGGCAGCAGCUUGUGUGUGUGACUGCACAGUGGCCACGCUUGCUCACACACCCCUAGCACACCCCUCUGCUCCACCCGUCUCAAUCUCCCUUGGAUCCGGGAUCCAGGUUGGUAGCAAGUGCGAGUGGGCAGAAGCAGCCCAGUGGGCCCAGAGCAAAACUCAGGCAAAGGUGCCACUAGACUGGCCAGGAAAGCGACACCCUAAAGAUCCCAUAAUGCUGAUAUGUUAAUUCUAUUCUAUAAGCACCACACAGAAGUGAUAGCUUUUAUUUCUUAUUUUGUCUAGCCUGGAGACAGAGCUAAGGAUUCCUUGAACUGCAAAGUCUUUUCCAGUUCUUAGUUUAUACAAUCCAUACUCACCUUCUGCCUAACUAAGCAUUGUCAUUUUUGUGCCAAAUGAAGAGUAGGACUCCUACGAUUGUCCUCAGACUCUCUUGGCUCAAUCCUCCUGCUUUAACCUUUCCUACUUCAAAAACUCCUGAAGUUUUGCUUCCCCUUCUAUAGAAUGGAAAUAUAUGUCGCAAUACUUACUGCAAAGAAAAUUAUAUAUUUUAAAAAUAGACUAAAGAGAUGUUGUGAGACAUCAGACAUCAAUCAGAUGUUGUGAGAACUGAUUUCUGCAUCAGAAUAUCUCCUUGACUUUACAGCUAUCCUUUAAUCCUGGCUCAAAGUUCCAGAAGAAAGAUGAUCCAAUAUAAUACUCCUAUUUGGACUUUGAGUCAUACACAUUCCUUCUUCUGAGAAAACGUGCUUCUGCAUGAAUCCUCCCUUCAUUAUUUUCAGCUCAUCUAUUAUUGAAUCUGAAACCCCAGGUUAACUGACUGAUCACUCUCAUCAGUGGCAGAUUUUGGUGUAACAUAGGACACAUCACUCCCAAUUCAGGUCAAGUCCCAAUUAUCUUGCCUCUCAAUAUGACAUGUUCAAUGUUGUAUUUCAUUCUACUUCAUUUUAAUGUAAAAAGUCUUUUCUGGUGAAGUCAGUCUUUUAUUUUCUCAUAAAAAUUCACCCUUUGGGUUUUUCAUAGGGUAUUCCCAUAACCAAACACACUUUACACUUUCCUAGUACAUAACCCAAUACUUUCUUCUUUCCCCACAGUCCUUACAUGAAGCCUACUCAGACCGACAUCACUGUAUCAUUUUUUUGUAUUCUGAAGUCCUUCAGCACUUGAUUCCUUUAAGUUUAAUCUUGGUAUUCUAUUGGGAAUCAUAUGGAAAUGUACAAUGAUAUUUAUUGAAUGAACAGGAAACAGGGAAAGACAUUGACCAGAAAAAGUGUUUAUUCAUCAAGUCUUUAAAGAUACAAAAACACGUGUCUUCUGUGGAGCUCUGAGAACAGGACUCCAGCAAAGCACUUUUCAGCCUUGUGGUCUUCAAGCAUUUCCAAGAUCUGUGACAUUGGAAAGAAAAAAAAUUAAGACAGAUUUGGGUCUCCAUGAGCAGAGAGUAUUCUUUCCCUUAGUUCUGGGUAGCAUAGUGCCCAAGGAAACCUAAUCAGUACAGUGGGAAACCAAAUCUAUUCCAAAUCAUUACCCAUAAGCAAUCCUAUGGACUCUCUGAGGUUUGACAGAGUCAGCGGCCCUCUCCAAUAAAUGUGUUUUUCUAUAAUAAUGUGCAGUGUGAGUAAUUUGAUGUUUUUGACAAAUAUUUACCCAGCGUUUUAUGAAGGAGAAGGUUUGGGGGGCAAGCUGAAGGAGCUCUGACUGCCUUUUGGAGGAGUGUGAGUGGCUUACCUUUGCUGCAAGGAGCAUUGUACUCAGCAAUUGCAAACUCAUCUGAAAAAAAAAAAACCAACAAAAAACCAGAAAUCAUUACAUGAAGUGAGAAAGAAAGCAAACAUCUGUGGGAUACAGGCCAAGGAAGGAGUUUGUUGUGGGAAGAACAGUAUUGUACCAGAAACAUAAGCAUCAUUCAUCUGAUGUGUUGCUUGCUACCUUAUAUUCUCCUUUCAAAUAUAGUGUUUUAUAUAUUCUUUUAUCCCAAACUCCUGAAGGACUCUUCAGAUGUUCUACUUACUUAAAUCUCAUAUUGUCAUACAGUCCAUUUAUCUGAUGAAAAGGGAACUAAAUAUCCCACAGGUGUUUUGUAUUAGUAGUUGAUAAAUUUAUAAUGUAGGUUGUUUCUAUAAUGUAUGUAUAAGAGACAAAAAGAGGGGCAUCAGACUUGAUGGAGACAAAAUGAAGUGAUAAUGUAAUUACUUAAUGUAAUAAAUAACCCCAACACAUCUCCUAAACCUGAAU
ensembl:lncRNA A2M-AS1 A2M antisense RNA 1